rnacentral:misc_RNA from 1 species
UCCGAGUUGACCCCGGCAGUCUCCUAUGAGUUCCCACCAUAACGUGCUGGCAACAUAGAACGAGGGUUGCGCUCGUUGCGGGACUUAACCCAACAUCUCACGACACGAGCUGACGACAACCAUGCACCACCUGUAUACCGACCUUGCGGGGCAACCAUCUCUGGAAGUUUCCGGUAUAUGUCAAGCCUUGGUAAGGUUCUUCGCGUUGCAUCGAAUUAAUCCGCAUGCUCCGCCGCUUGUGCGGGCCCCCGUCAAUUCCUUUGAGUUUUAGCCUUGCGGCCGUACUCCCCAGGCGGGGAACUUAAUGCGUUAGCUGCGACACGGAAUCCGUGGAAUGGACCCCACAUCUAGUUCCCAACGUUUACGGCGUGGACUAC